UACGUAGGGGGCUAGCGUUGUCCGGAAUCAUUGGGCGUAAAGAGCGUGUAGGCGGUCCGGUAAGUCCGCUGUGAAAGUCAGGGGCUCAACCCUCGAAUGCCGGUGGAUACUGUCGGACUAGAGUACGGAAGAGGCGAGUGGAAUUCCUGGUGUAGCGGUGAAAUGCGCAGAUAUCAGGAGGAACACCGGUGGCGAAGGCGGCUGCUGGGCCUUACCUGACGCUGAGGCACGAAAGCGUGGGGAGCAAACAGG
rnacentral:rRNA from 1 species